CCAGAUUCGUUAUGCGGCAAAAAGCAGAUAUGCCGAGGACCUGUUUUUUGUGGUUGAGUUUUGGCCAGAGAUACUAGGUUUUGUGACCUUUCCAAUCUUCAUGGCUGCAACAUUGUAAACCGCCAGAAUUCACGAAAUAUGCUGCAGCGGAUAGUCAUACGCGCCCAAAAAUGUCAAAUCAGCACUAUGAGUCCAGGCUGACUGACAGACACGUCAGGGUCCAGGCAUUUUGCGAAUUUUGCUCAAUUUGGAGCAGAAGCAUAUCCAUCCUCGUCUGAGGUCGAACAAUUAGUCAAAUCCGAGCGGUUCAAUUGAAGCCGCUCGAAUAUUCUUGCCGCUCGAUGAAUUAUCACGCUAAGACGAACGAACAAAGCGGGGUUCAAAUACUACCCACUCGAAGCUCUGCUCUCCUUGUGGCCUUUUGAUGAUCCUUACAGCUCCACAUAGCCAUAAAUCGCUCCUUACUUUCUUCUUAGCCAUGAUGCUGAAAUCGCUGAGACCAAAAUCCAUGGAAAGAUGCUGUAGGAACUGAAAUAGCCGGCAAGAAAGUGGUUCUGAUAUGAGAUAGCCAGUCGCUCACGGGACACUCUUGAGAAUCAAGGUUUGCUGGCAGAUAAACCCGGUUUCGAUAUAUUCCAAGUGUUUUGGACCAUGAAGAUCAUUGAUUUUUCGUUGAGUCGCAGAUCAUACAUAAACUGCCAUG
rnacentral:sRNA from 2 species